GGUUGAGUUUUACAGAAAACAUAUUUCCAAACACAUUCGCCACAGGCCAAACCCUCCACAGGGGAGAGUUACUUUUAGAAGCACUUUGAACUUGCUUUCUCUACAGUAUCUGAGAGAUAACUCACUCCUGUGGUUACCUGUUCUGCUUACUGUGAACCUUCUGGGAUGAGAUGACCAUCCUUGGCAGAUGCUCACCUCAGUCCUGUGCCCUGGGAGCACAAGAGAAAGCGCAUACAAAAACCCAGGAGUGAAGAAGAAGGGAAGCUGCCUCCCAUGACACUUGUCCCUCACAUGCUUCCAAAGCUCCCUGACUAAAACUGCCAGAUCUCAGUUCCUCUUUGGCAUUGACACAACCUUGGGCAUGUCCCAACUUAUCCAAGGCCCAAUCUUCCUAUUUAUAUAAGAAAGCGAAGCAAAAGCCCAUUUUCCUCCCUAACCUAGAAAUUGCCUUUAGAAGUAGAAAGCCAUACCUGGGAGUGUUCUGCCUCCCCAAAAGGGACAUAUGCCCACUGACACAGAGGUGAGUGUUCUACCAUAGCCGGAGUCUUUCCAUACAAAAAGGGAAACAUUUUGUGAGGGUUAAUCCAAUCAUCCAACAUGUUCAUAAAAAUAGGUGUUACAAUCUAAAUCUGAAAUUCACUUCUACCGGCUCAUAUUUUUGCAUGCUUCUUCCUGGUUAGUGGUGCUGUGUUAAAAGGCCCUAGACCCUCUGGGAUAUGGAGUUCAAGAGAGAGAAGUAGGUCACACUGGGAGCAGCCUUUUAAGGUUAGACUCAGUUCUUUUCUCCUGCUUUGUACUCCACUUUUGUGGUACACCAUGGUGUAUAUACCGUCUGCCAUACACAUGAUCCUUACUGUGAUCUGAGUGGCUUUGCCUCCUGCUUGGCCUGCUGGACUGAGCCUUUUGAAACCAUGAGUCAACAUACACCUUCCACCCUGAAGGUAUUUCUAUCAGAUGUUUUGCCUCAACCUGUGCCCCUUGGGCCCCAGAACCCUGGCUAUGUGUGGUGAAGUAACAAAGAAAGAACAAAACACACAUAUGGUGAUGUGGGGAUCAGGUAGAGCACUCAAGCACUGUAACUACAAUCUGGAUCCUCUGGGUGUUUAUUGGAUACAGCACAGGGAGGUGAAAAGGAGAUUGGGGUACAAGAGGCGAGAGUCUCUGGCUGUGAACAUCCUGAAGGAGGAAACCACAGUUGCCAGGUUGUGAACACCCUGAUCAAUUGUCUAUAAACACUCAUGCUCGGACACCCAAGGCUAAGAUUUGCUAUUUCUGUUGAGCCUGGGCUGUAAGAGUAACGGCUUUGUAAUUUGUCACUUGGGCCUGAGGCCCCAGAGUCCCCAAUAGGCCAUCCCUUUGUCAAAAUAUGCAUUUACUAAGGACAUCAGUCACUCAGGGCUUCCUCUGCUCUGUACAGAGUUUGAUCACAGGAAUACAAAAGUAACUCAGACCUCGAGGGACUUGGAGAUAGGGUUUCCAAGAGCAUGUGUGGCAGUUCCAGAGCUGAGGAGGGACAAAAUGGCAGAAGUCACUUGUCCCUAGUGCUUCCUUAUUGAUCUCUGUGGCAGCUGCUAAGAGCUCUCUCAUGGCUUGCAGUUAAACUAUAUUGUCAAUACCUGUCGCCAUCUGAGAGUCUACUAAGAACCAGUGGCCUUUGGAAUCAAGUCUAACGCCUACCUCAAUGCUAUAGAUAGGUGGCUCUAGCCUCUUCUUACAUAAGUGAGCAUUAGGAAGGAAUAUGGUUAGAAGUGAGGAAAUUGGUGUACACUGAGCCCCCUGCUUCUAUAUCAAAAGAGAAAGAGUUCUGCUUGAAAACCUUUGAAAAAUCUUAAGAUCUCAAAUAUCGGUGAGAUCUCAGGGAAGUCAUCCUAGGGUGAUGUUAUCACAAAGCUUACCCACAUCUCCAUGCUGCCAAUUAUGGGGUAUUGGAAAAUGGUGGGCACCUCAAACCUCCAUGAAGAAAUGUUCCAUGUGUCUUAGUGCACAUGUGGAGGUUAAAGGACAACUUUUGGGGACCCAUUCUCUCCUUCUAUGGUGGGUUGAACCCCGAUGGUCAGGUUUGCACGGCCGCUCCUUCACCCUCUGAGCCUUCUCAUCCUCCGUUGGCUGUAUACCUAAGGCAAUUAGUGGUAUAUCUACUAAUCAUAUUACCUUAAUGAGAUUUAAUCUUUUGGAGAGCUGAGUCCGUUAAGUCCUACCUCAUUGCCUUCUCUACCAUACC
ensembl:lincRNA Gm42678 predicted gene 42678